UAUCCACCUUGGAAAACUGUUGGAUUUUGUCUACUGAACCCGAACAUUCUAGGUACAUCCAAGAAAGAAGAAUGCAUGUGUCCAGCAAAACACAUGUACAAGAAUGUUUGCAGCAGCUUUAUUUAUACUUGUCCACUAUGCUGAUAACAUCUUGCCAAUUGGACUCAGGGUACAGGAAAUACUCUGGAUUCCUUAGUAAGAGAAACACAUACCAGACAGCAAAGAUACAUGGUACAAAUUCAGGGGUCUGUCACACAGAUGAAGUUUUUAGGGAUCUCAUGGUCUGGGAAGGAAGAAGGAGCUCUAUAGAGGAUGGUGCGAGCUGCUCUGCUUUUCAGCCUAUGUGGCCUGGCAGAGCCCAAGAUACUGGAGGUGUCCUUUGUGGAUGGAGUCUCUCAAAAGGCCUAAUAUUAGAGGCAUGUUGCAGAUUUUCCAGGAUUCUUGUAACAGCAGGACUUUCUGGUGGAGAACUACUUAUGUUUGAAAAAAAGGAAGCCCUAAAGAGACUGAGUGCCUGACCACAGGAUAUCAAGUAACUGACUAUGUGGCUGAGUUUCACAACACAAGCUACAUGUGAUCAGAUUCGAUGAGUCUUGAGGUCAAGCUGGGCAAGACACACAAAUGCUAGAAUGGCACCUUCAGAUCACAUCUCAGUAGGUCCAGAGGUCACACAAGUAAUCACAUAAAAGGGGUAUCAGUCUCAGAACAGGACUAGAAUUCCACAUCAUCUGUCUCCGUUGCACUGUUGCCUCUCCCUGAAAUUAUACUUAUGCUAUCAAGGGAAUUCCUCAUGACUGAUAGAGAGAAAAGCAGGAAAUAAGGUUUGGUUCACAGAUGAGUCAGCUCAGAAUAUCGGCGCUAACUGAAAAUGGACUUUGCCAUGCUACAGCCACACUCAACAGUAACCUUGAGUGAAGGGAAAUCUGUCCAGUGGGUCAUUCUCUGGAGGGGAAACGAUCUGAAGUAUGGACAUAUGUGGAUCCUUUGAACAGUGGCAGGUGCUUUAGAUAGCUGUUCAGGAGUUUGAGGAAGAGGCAUAUGGACAAAUCUUCGGGAGAGCUCACAAACCGUGUGCACCCUUUCGUCUUCUGUUAUGCCUAGAGAGCACCCACUGAAGGGGAGGCAGUAAACAACCACUCUGUCUGGCCAGAUGGGCAACUCAUCCUGUAGACGCUACUGCCUCUGUUCCCAACCACCUCAGUGCUUGCACAACAGCUCCUCAGAUGAGCUGGCCAUAACAGCUUUUGAGACUAUUCAAGUAUCAGAUAGCAAGGACUCCCUCUCACAAAACUGGAUCUAGUUAUUGUCCCUGCAUGUUGACCUGACUGCCCACAGCAUGGACCAGUGCUGAACCUUCAACGUGACGCCAUCCUUCAAGAAUACUAGCCAGGCACUAGUGAGCGUCUCUGGAAUCCAGACCGUCUGAGCGAUUAUAGAAUGUAUGGUUUACUUGCAUGGGAUUUCACAUGAAAAUACAUCACACUCAGCUGAUCCAUUUUAAAGCAAAGGAAGAUUUAUUGUCCUGGAAGGAUCUGCACCUGGAACUGCCAAUGAAAGACCCCAGCUGAUUCCUCAGGAGUUUUCAUCUCUGAAGAUGGGUAUGGUUCCAAAUCGAGUUAUUCCCCGGUGGCUCAGAUGGUAAAAAAUCUGCUAUCAAUGCAGGAGACCUGGGUUUGAUCCCUGGGCUGGGAAGAUCCCCUGGAGAAGGAAUGGCUACCCACUCCACUAUUCCUGCCUGGAGAAUCCCAUGGACAGAGGAGCCUGGUGGGCUACAGUCCAUGGGGUCACAAAGAGUCGGACAUGCCUAGGUGGCUAACACUUUCACUUUUCUGGUAUGUAAUCAAGCAUUCAUUUCUUGGCCUUAGGUUCUUUAGAACUGUAGCAUUUUGAGCAGAGGUCCUCUCAAUACAAUCUUAAAGCUGAGUACUGGUUAAUUGCGAGAAUAAAUUUAAAAGUUUCUUACAUAGAACUCACCCCUUUCCAAUGCAUCCCUAGGAAUAAAAUAUGACUUCAAAAUUCAUUUCCCGGUCUUAUCAGGCUUCAGUUUCCUGCUUCCCCAUUUAAAAGACAUACCUGAGAGGGAGGUUGCUGUCAUGAUGAGGAGCUGUCUCUGAAAUAACUGAUCCACCAAAUUAUUUAUUUUUGUCUUUUUGGUUGUAGAAGUAAAGGGUGAGCCUAUCCUGCCUGAGAUGGAACAGGACAUGCAAAGAUUUUGCAAUGCCGUUUUGCCCUUUACCAGUGAUGACAUGGACGCUGGUGCUAUGACUCACCCACAAGAGGAUGAAAUUCCAUCAUUCCCCCUCCAUUACUCACAGGCAUUUGAGAAAUAAAGCCUGUGGCCAGGUAACUUGCUGGAUGAACCUCAGAACCUUAGAAUUCUCUGAACAAGUGAGACAACCAAUCCCAAAUGGCAAAUAGUUAGUUUUAAAAAAUGGAAAUGAAAAUGCCCAAGAGGCAAGUAGUUCAUUUCAGGGGCCCCUUUCUUAGGUGAACUAUCACAGGGGAAUAAGGAAACAGGAAAGAUCAAUUGUAUAUAAAUCUAUAAAAAUGUUAAUGAGCUGAUUAGCUCAGAGAAACAUUCUAUUUGUCUCUUAAACAAAAUUGAUUGCUUCAAAGACCUUGUCUGUGCAGACUGAAAAAAAAAACAACCUUCAA